rnacentral:lncRNA from 1 species
CUUCCCACGCGGUCUCUGGGCUGGUUGAGCUGCGCCGCUGCAGGUAGUGCUGAGUUGCUCCAGUGCCACUGGGUUAGGGUCUCCACAACCGAGCUGGUCUCAGCAAGUGGUGUCCAUACAUGGGGCUCGAACCUGGGUUGAAGGGUCGCCAGAGCGACGGUUGGAGAACGUGGAACUAAGCUGGAGGACACCUGAGUACUCUUAAGCAAUCCCCGUGGUGAGUAAGAAGGGGAGCUCGGAAGCAUCAGGGUAUCAAUGGGACAAGUGUGGGCUCUGGUUCAUUCCACCUUGGAACCUUUUCACCCUAAUGAUGAGGAGGAAGGAAAGUAUAAUGAACUAACAGAAGACAUGACAGAGCAGGUUUGUUUGCCAGCUAAAGCUAAAGCGGCAAAGGAGGAAGAGGUUCCUCCCUACCCUUCUGCACCCCCUCAUUAUUUUGAAGAAAAAGAGUAGCCUGACCCUCCAGAUCUUUCUUUUCCAGAGGACACUGGGUGAAAAGUAGUUGCCCCAGUGACCGAGCAGUGCCUCGAGUGACCGCUCUCAGUUCUAUUCAAGCAGGAAUCCAGCAAGCUAGAAGAGAGGGUGAUUUAGAGGUUUGGCAGUCCCUGUUGGAAUACACCCCCCAGAUCAACAGGGAAAUAUUAUAGCUACAUUUGAGCCUUUUCCUUUUAAAUUACUCAAAGAAUUUAAACAAGCUAUUAAUCAGUAUGGACAAGGUUAUCCUUUUGUAAUGGGACUGUUAAAGAAUGUUCCUGUCUCCAGUCAGAUGUUGCCAGUGGGGCUUAUAGGAUUACUUCUAGGUAGAUCUAGUUUAAAUUUAAAAGGACUGCAAGUAUAUACAGGAGUCAUUGAUUCAGAUUACAAUGGGGAAAUUCAAAUUGUUUUAUCUACUUCUGUUGCCUGGAAAGCAGAGCCAGGAGAGCGCAUAGCACAGCUCCUGAUUGUGCCAUAUGUGGAAAUGGGGAAAAGUGAAAUUAAACGAACAGGAGGAUUUGGAAGCACAAAUAAACAAGGUGAAGCAGCUUAUUGGGUGAAUCAAAUUACUGAUAAAUGUCCUACCUGUGAAAUAACUAUUCAGGGAAAGAAAUUUAAAGGUUUGGUAGAUACAGGAGCAGACAUUUCAGUUAUUUCUCUACAGCACUGGUCAUCCUCCUGGCCAAUUCAACUCGCUCAAUUUAACAUAGUUGGAGUUGGUAAAGCCCCUGAAGUAUAUCAAAGUAGUUAUAUUUUGCACUGUGAAGGGCCCGAUGGACAACCUGGGACUAUUCAACCAAUUGUAACUUCUGUACCUAUAAAUUUAUGGAGGAGAGAUUUAUUACAACAAUGGGGAGCACAAGUUCUAAUUCCAGAACAAUUAUAUAGCCCUCAAAGUCAACAUAUGAUGCAUGGAAUGGGGUAUGUCCCUGGUAUGGGACUAGGAAAAAAUUUGCAAUGUUUGAAGGAACCACUUCAAGCAGGAAGACAAAGUUCCCACCAAGGUUUAGGGUAUCAUUUUUGAUCGUGGCCAUUGUUAAGCCUCCAGAACCUAUACCUUUAAAAUGGUUGACAGAUAAGCCAAUUUGGAUAGAAUAAUGGCCACUAAAUAAAGAGAAACUGGAGGCUUUAGAGGACUUAGUUACUGAAUAAUUAGAAAAAGAACACAUAGCUCCAACAUUUUCCCCUUGGAAUUCUUCAGUCUUUAUUAUUAAGAAAAAAUCAGGUAAAUGGAGAAUAUUAACUGACUUAAGAGCCGUUAAUUCCGUUAUACAACCUACAGGGGCAUUACAGCCAGGAUUGUCUUUUCCUGCUAUGAUUCUGAAAAAUCAGCCUUUAAUAGCCAUAGAUUUAAAAGACUGUUUCUUUACUAUCCCCUUAGCUGAGCAAGACUGUGAACAGUUUGCAUUUACAAUUCCUGCAGUAAACAACCUGCAGCCUGCUAAGCAUUUGCAUUGGAAAGUGUUGCCAGAAGGCAUGUUAAAUAGUCCAACAAUUUGCCAGACUUAUGUAGGGCAAGCAAUUGAACCUACUUGUAAAAAUUUUCACAGUGUUACAUUAUUCAUUAUGUGGACGAUAUACUUUGUGCUGCCGCCCCUCGAGAAAUAUUACUCCAAUGUUAUGAUCACUUGCAAAACUCGAUUUCUCGUGCCAGUUUAAUUAUAGCUACUUAAAAAAUUCAGACUACUACUCCUUACUCCUACUUGGGGAACUUAGUAAAUGACACUACCAUUGUGCCACAGAAAGUAACCAUAUAGUAACCAUAUACGUCGGGAUCAAUUGAAAACAUUAAAUGACUUUAAAAAAUUACUAGGGGACAUUAAUUGCAUAUGACCUGCUCUAGGCAUUCCUACCUAUGCCAUGAGUAAUCUAUUUUCUAUCCUUAGAGGAGAUCCUAGUCUCACUAGCCCUUGGCAAUUAACAAAUGAGGCUGAGGCAGAGUUACAGCUGAUUGAAAAGCAAGUCUGUAAAGCUCAAAUGAAUAGAAUAGAUCAAGAGAAGACUCUAGAUUUGCUAAUUUUUUCAACUCAGUAUUCACCUACUGUGUUAUUGUCCAAGAGCAGGACUUAGUAGAAUGGCUUUUUCUUCCACAUGCUAAUUCACAGACUUUGACCCCUUAUUUGGAUCGAAUUGCUACUAUGAUAGGAAAUGGGAGAACUCGGAUUGUUAAAUUACAUGGAUAUGAUCCUGGAAAAAUUAUUGUUCCUCUUACAAAGGCACAAAUACAGCAACUUUUAUAAAUAGUCUUACUUGGCAAACCCACGUAGCUGACUUUGUGGGUAUUUUCAAUAACCAUUUUCCUAAAACAAAAUUAUUUCAAUUUUUGAAAUUAACUAAUUGGAUUCUCCCUAAAAUAACUAAAUUUAAACCAAUUGAAAGUGCUGAAAAUGUCUUCACAGAUGGGUCUAGUAAUGGUAAAGCUUCUUAUUCUGGAUCGAAAGGUAAAGUUUUCCAGACGCCCUAUACUUCGGCUCAAAAAGCAGAGCUUGUAGCUAUAAUUGAGGUAUUGACUGCUUUUGAUAUACCUAUUAAUGUGAUUUCUGAUUCUUCAUAUGUGGUUCAUUCCACACAAUUAAUUGAAAAUGCUCAGUUACGAUUUCAUACAGAUGAACAACUGAUGACUUUAUUUACCCAACUGCAAACAGCAAUUAGGAGUAGAAUGCACCCUUUCUACAUUACUCAUAUUCGGGCUCAUACACCUCUUCCAGGACCUUUGACUCCAGGGAAUCAAAUGGCUGAUCGCCUAGUUGCUACUGCAAUAUCUAAUGCCAGACACUUUCACAAUUUAACCCAUGUUAAUGCCUCUGGUCUCAAACGCAGAUACAGCAUUACCUGGACAGAAGCUAAAGCUAUUAUCCAGUGAUGCCCAACUUGUCAAAUGGUGCAUUCCUCGUCUUUUACAGGGGGAGUUAAUCCUCGAGGAUUGGAACGUAAUUCUCUUUGGCAAAUGGAUGUCACCCACGUUCCCUCGUUUGGGAGACUAGCUUAUGUACAUGUAUGUGUGGACACCUUUUCUCACUUUGUCUGGGCUACAUGCCAAUCAGGAGAGUCUUCUGCCUGAGUUAAACAUCACCUUUUGCAGUGUUUUGUGGUGAUGGGCAUUCCAGCUUCUAUUAAAACAGAUAACGUCCCAGGCUAUACUAGCCAAGCUCUAGCUACAUUUUUCUCUAUAUGGAAUACUAAACACAUUACUGGCAUUCCGUAUAAUUCUCAAGGACAAGCCAUAGUGGAAAGAAUGAAUCCCUCCCUGAAACAGCAGUUGCAAAAGCAAAAAGGGGGAAACAGGGACUAUGGGAUACCCCAUAUGCAAUUGAAUCUAGUAUUAUUGACUUUAAAUUUUUUGAGACUGCCUAAAGGCCAGAUGCUAUCAGCAGCUGAAUAGCAUCUACAGAAACCAGCUGCAAAGACAGAAGCAGAACAACUGGUUUGGUGGAGAGAGCCAAUGAUAAAAAGUUGGGAAAUGGGUAGAAUAAUAACUUGGGGUAGAGGUUAUCCUUGUGUUUCUCCAGGACCAAAUCAACUGCCAAUUUGGAUAUCAUCGAGGCACCUGAAACCUUAUCAUGAGCCUGAUGCUGAGGAAUAGAUUCUGGGAGGAUCCCGAGGAUCCCCUGGUUGCAGCCAUGUUGAGACUGACGCUGAGGGGGACCCCAACUGUCACGAGCAACACCCAUCGAACGCAGCCACCUACCUGGGGACAGAUCAAGAAGCUGUCACAGAUGGCAGAAGAAAACCUAAGGAAAGUGGGACAACCAGUCACAAUGAGUAAUUUAAUGAUAGCUAUGAUAGUGGUGAUCACCAUUGCCAUGAGUAUUCCUUCAACAAGGGCUGGCACAGAGGACAAUUAUACUUAUUGGGCGUAUUUAUCAAUCUUGGCUGGCAAUAAUGCCUGGAUGUAAUCACUCUAUGACACAGUUACACAUGCUUUCUGGUCUCCGUAUUUACCAUAAUAAAUCUGCUCCUGUAAUUGAGGUAUACUGCCCUCAAAAACCUAUUUGUAAACAGAAUUGGACCUGGCUAGAAAUAAUGAAUGUAUUUGUUUGGGAAGAUUGCAUUGCAAAACAGGCAGAGGUGCUGUGCAACAAUUCCCGUGGAAUCAUUAUUGAUUGGUCCCCUAAGGGGAUGUUUAGCUUGAAUUGCACCUGUCAGUCUGUGUGCCACAGCCACACUAUGUUCAGCUGGUCUGAACAAAAUGGUCAAAUGGUAGAAAUGGUAAGAAGUAUGGCAAGAGUUCCUAUUAUUUGAAAACAUGGUGGUAUAGUGGCACCUCAACCUCAAAUGAUAUGGCCCGCUCUAGGAGCUUAACAUAAGGAUUUGUGGAAACUAUUAAUGGCUCUUAAUAAGAUCAAAAUUUGGGAGAGAGUAAAAAAGCAUCUAGAAGGACACUCUACAAACUUGUCUUUGGAUAUUGCAAAAUUAAAAGAACAAAUAUUUAAAGCAUCCCAGGCACACCUGACCUUAAUGCCAGAAAUAGGAGUGCUUGAAGGAGUGUAGACAGAUUAGCAGGUAGUAACCCAUUAAAAUAGAUAAAAACACUUGGAAGCUCUGUGAUUUCAAUGAUGAUGGUGCUUUUAAUCUGUGUUGUUUGUCUUUGUAUAGUCUGCAGCUCCCGACUCCUGCAAGAAGUAGCUCACCAUGAUAAAGCCACCUUUGCAUUUAUCAUCUUGCAAAAACAAAAAGGGGGAACAUGUUGGGAACAGGCCCCCAAAUCUGGCCAUAAACUGGCCCCAAAACUGACCAUAAACAAAAUCUCUGCAGCACUGUGACAUGUUCGUGAUGGCUAUGACACCCACCCUGAAGGUUGUGGGUUUACUGUAAUGAGGGCAAGGAACACCUGGCCCACCCAGGGCAGAAAACUGCUUAAGGCGUUCCUAAGCCACAGACAAUAGCAUGAGUGAUCUAUGCAUUAAGGACAUGUUCCUGCUGCAGAUAACUAGCCCAACCCAUCCUUUUGUUUUGGCCCAUCCCUUUGUUUCCUGUAAGGAAUGCUUUUAGUUAAUCUGUAAUCUAUAGAAACAAUGGUUAUCACUGGCUUGCUGUCAGUAAAUAUGUGGGUUAAACUCUGUUUGGGGCUCUCAGAUCUGAAGGCUGUCAGCCCCCUGGAUUUCCCACUCCACACUCUAUAGUUCUGUGUGUGUGUGUGUGUGUGUGUGUGUGUGUGUGUUUCUUUAAUUCCUCUAGUGCUGCUGGGUUAGGGUCUCCACGACUGAGCUAGUCUCAGCAGUAUAAAAAUCAGAAUAUUAAUUUGGCAACAUUUGGUAAUAUCAAUGCAGAAUAUUUAUCAGAAAUCAAAUGUUAUCACCAAAAAUCUACUCUACUUUGUUAUCCAGGAGAUGCAAUACAAAACCCAUUAAUUAAAACAUUAACAGAUACUAUUAAAAUACUUUGGGAUAAGGUCAGAAAUGCUAAAUGUUACUUAUUAUUUUAGACACAUUACCUGAUGCGAGGCAUAUAGUGCAGAUGAUUAUGGUUAGAGUUGUGAUUUUCUAAACUCAAAUACUUCUAUAUGUGAACAUUUUUGGGAGAUUUUUGUCACAACUGGAGAAAGAUUAUUUUUAAAUUUUAGUAAACUACUUACAAAAACUGAACCAGACAAAAAUAAUUCAAGAAGCUAGAAAUAUGACAACAUGGUGCAAUAGGAAAUCCUUGAAUAAAAAAUAUAUAUAUGUAUAUAUACACCAUAAAAUAUAGAAUGGUAUAUUCUGUAUCAUUCUAUAUUCCUUUUCUAAAGCAUCAUUAUUAUUAUUUGAGAUGAGGGGGAGAUCUAACCAUGUUGCCUGGGCUGGUCUUGAACCCCUGUCCUCAAGCAAUCUUCCUUCCUCAGCCUCCUGAGUAGUUGGGAUUACAGACACAUACCACUAUGCCCACCUUAAAGCUUGCUUGCUUGCUUGCUUGCUUUUUUUUUUUUUUUUUUUUGAGACAGGAUCUUGCUCUGUUGCUCAGGUUGGAGUGAAGUGGCACGAUCUCAGCUCACUGCAACACUCCAGCCUGAGCAACAGAGCAGACUCCAUCUUGGGGAAAGAAAGAAAAAAAAAAAGAACUAUACAUCUACCAAAAGCUUCAGUUAAAUGUUUGGGUAUAUUGAAAACACACUGGAUAUAAAUUUGAAACCACUGUUAAACGUGUGACAGGAAAAUCGAGUUGAGACUGCCAUGCCCGUGUCAACUGACCAUGGGUUCUUGGGCUCUCAAUGCAAUAGAACAUUGACAUGAGGCCAAAAGAGUUUUCUCAAAGCUUCACUGGAGCUUUUGUCCAGCCAUAAGGGAGGCAGAACGAGAGAGAAAGAGAGAUAGAGAGAGACAGAGAGAGAGAGAGAGAGAGUAUUCCCUGACAGACUCCACCUAUAAAAGAACAGGUAGGACUUUUUUAUUAGGCAAAGUACAGAACUGACAUCAGAAGUAGAGUGUACACAGGCUGGGCAAGGCAAACAAUGUGAGGGGUAGGGUAGCAGGUCAGCAUAUCCAGUUGUGAUGGUUAUCUUGAGUAAUGGGCCACCUGGUAGUCUGGCCUGUGACAACAAGACUAUAAAUCAAUUGUCCAGCAGCAUUCCUUUCUGAGGUGGGACACUCUGCAACCUUGGUUAGCUCCUAAAGCCAGUUCCUGGAAUUCUUUAAGUAAAAAGACUAUUAGCAGCGAGGUAAUGGUGUGGGUUUUGUGAUGUGUGGGAAUGCUCUAAUGGGGGUGAACCAAAGCCAGGCUCUGUCUCUACUGUGUCUCACCAGUAAAAACACAAUUACAAACAGCAUGCAAUGCUCUUUUUUGUGAUGAUGGUUAAUAAAGAAUACACAUUCUAAAAUACCAGCAAAAGUUCUACUUUCAAACAUAUGUCUAAAUUUAUUAGCUAAGUACUGACCUGGUAUGAUGCUUUAAGUAAAACUGAUGGUUUAAACAAAAUGACAGAGAAAAAUCAAAAUGCAAUGUCAAAAAAUUUUAAUGUACAUAAUGCUCUCAAAAACCUCAGAGGGAUUAAGAAAUUCAUUUUUUACCUUUCUUAAAAAAUAUAUAUUUUUGGGGACAAGAUCUCAAGCUCUUGGCCUCAAGCAAUCCUCCUGCCUUGUCCUCCUAAAAGUGCUGGGACUACAGGCAUGAGCCAUUGCGCCUGGCCUAAGAAAUUCUUCAAAGGAAAGCUAAGUGAUAAUGCUUACAAAAAGAUAGAUUACUGAGUUUAAAAUAAAUUGCAGAGUCUCUUGACAUUCCUUUCAAUUUCUCCUGCAUAGAGAAUAUUAGAAAAAGGGGAUUUCAAUUGCAAAUCCCUCAGCCCAUCUAUGUUCCAAAACUAAAUUUUAAAAUCAAUUUCUUUUUUAUUCUACAUUGGAAACUGC